rnacentral:rRNA from 1 species
AAAUUGAAGAGUUUGAUCAUGGCUCAGAUUGAACGCUGGCGGCAGGCCUAACACAUGCAAGUCGAACGGUAACAGGAAGCAGCUUGCUGCUUUGCUGACGAGUGGCGGACGGGUGAGUAAUGUCUGGGAAACUGCCUGAUGGAGGGGGAUAACUACUGGAAACGGUGGCUAAUACCGCAUAACGUCGCAAGACCAAAGAGGGGGACCUUCGGGCCUCUUGCCAUCAGAUGUGCCCAGAUGGGAUUAGCUUGUUGGUGAGGUAACGGCUCACCAAGGCGACGAUCCCUAGCUGGUCUGAGAGGAUGACCAGCCACACUGGAACUGAGACACGGUCCAGACUCCUACGGGAGGCAGCAGUGGGGAAUAUUGCACAAUGGGCGCAAGCCUGAUGCAGCCAUGCCGCGUGUAUGAAGAAGGCCUUCGGGUUGUAAAGUACUUUCAGCGGGGAGGAAGGUGUUGUGGUUAAUAACCACAGCAAUUGACGUUACCCGCAGAAGAAGCACCGGCUAACUCCGUGCCAGCAGCCGCGGUAAUACGGAGGGUGCAAGCGUUAAUCGGAAUUACUGGGCGUAAAGCGCACGCAGGCGGUCUGUCAAGUCGGAUGUGAAAUCCCCGGGCUCAACCUGGGAACUGCAUUCGAAACUGGCAGGCUUGAGUCUUGUAGAGGGGGGUAGAAUUCCAGGUGUAGCGGUGAAAUGCGUAGAGAUCUGGAGGAAUACCGGUGGCGAAGGCGGCCCCCUGGACAAAGACUGACGCUCAGGUGCGAAAGCGUGGGGAGCAAACAGGAUUAGAUACCCUGGUAGUCCACGCCGUAAACGAUGUCUACUUGGAGGUUGUGCCCUUGAGGCGUGGCUUCCGGAGCUAACGCGUUAAGUAGACCGCCUGGGGAGUACGGCCGCAAGGUUAAAACUCAAAUGAAUUGACGGGGGCCCGCACAAGCGGUGGAGCAUGUGGUUUAAUUCGAUGCAACGCGAAGAACCUUACCUGGUCUUGACAUCCACAGAACUUUCCAGAGAUGGAUUGGUGCCUUCGGGAACUGUGAGACAGGUGCUGCAUGGCUGUCGUCAGCUCGUGUUGUGAAAUGUUGGGUUAAGUCCCGCAACGAGCGCAACCCUUAUCCUUUGUUGCCAGCGGUCCGGCCGGGAACUCAAAGGAGACUGCCAGUGAUAAACUGGAGGAAGGUGGGGAUGACGUCAAGUCAUCAUGGCCCUUACGACCAGGGCUACACACGUGCUACAAUGGCAUAUACAAAGAGAAGCGACCUCGCGAGAGCAAGCGGACCUCAUAAAGUAUGUCGUAGUCCGGAUUGGAGUCUGCAACUCGACUCCAUGAAGUCGGAAUCGCUAGUAAUCGUGGAUCAGAAUGCCACGGUGAAUACGUUCCCGGGCCUUGUACACACCGCCCGUCACACCAUGGGAGUGGGUUGCAAAAGAAGUAGGUAGCUUAACCUUCGGGAGGGCGCUUACCACUUUGUGAUUCAUGACUGGGGUGAAGUCGUAACAAGGUAACCGUAGGGGAACCUGCGGUUGGAUCACCUCCUUACCUUAAAGAAGC